GAUGAACGCUGGCGGCGUGCCUAAUACAUGCAAGUCGAGCGAACAGACGAGGAGCUUGCUCCUCUGACGUUAGCGGCGGACGGGUGAGUAACACGUGGAUAACCUACCUAUAAGACUGGGAUAACUUCGGGAAACCGGAGCUAAUACCCGAUAAUAUAUUGAACCGCAUGGUUCAAUAGUGAAAGACGGUUUUGCUGUCACUUAUAGAUGGAUCCGCGCCGCAUUAGCUAGUUGGUAAGGUAACGGCUUACCAAGGCGACGAUGCGUAGCCGACCUGAGAGGGUGAUCGGCCACACUGGAACUGAGACACGGUCCAGACUCCUACGGGAGGCAGCAGUAGGGAAUCUUCCGCAAUGGGCGAAAGCCUGACGGAGCAACGCCGCGUGAGUGAUGAAGGUCUUCGGAUCGUAAAACUCUGUUAUUAGGGAAGAACAAAUGUGUAAGUAACUAUGCACGUCUUGACGGUACCUAAUCAGAAAGCCACGGCUAACUACGUG
rnacentral:rRNA from 1 species